GACGAACGCUGGCGGCGUGCUUAACACAUGCAAGUCGAACGGAAAGGCCCUGCUUUUGUUGGGUGCUCGAGUUGCGAACGGGUGAGUAACACGUGAGUAACCUGCCCUUUACUUUGGGAUAACUUCAGGAAACUGUGGCUAAUACCGGAUAAGAGCUCCUGCUGCAUGGUGUCGGUUUGAAAGUUUCGGCGGAUUGGGUUGGACGUGCGGCUUAUCUGUUUGUAGGUGGUGUAGUGGCAACCCAUGGCGUUGACGGGUAGCCGGCCUGGGAGGGUGACCGGCCACAUAGGGACUGGGAUGCGAGCCAGACGGCAACGGGGGGAAGGGGUGGAGAAUAGAGCGAGAUGGGCGGAAGCCGGAUGGAGGGUCGCCGCGUGGGGGAGGUCGGCCGUAGGGUUGGAAACAGUUUUAGACUGUGAAGAAGAGUGAGUGACGGUAACGUGUAAAGAAGCAACGGCUAACUACGUG
rnacentral:rRNA from 1 species